CUCUCUUUUUCCCGUAGACCUCUCUCUCAUUUCGCAAGCUUGAACCCCAAAUCUUGAACCCAAACCUGUCUUUCCUCUUCACAAUCUCGAAUCCAACCACCACCACUACUUUGUCCGUUGUCUCUCCCCCUCUCGUUCUAAAUGACGGGCAGCCAUGCGAAUCUCGAAGUUGAUGCGAAUCAAGUCCCAAAAUCAUGAGGAUUAUCAGCAAUAAACGUGAAAGGGAAAAUUGAAGGCGACAUUGGGGGCCUCUCUGAAUUAAGAUCCUUGGAUCUUUCAUUCAACAAAGGUCUCAUCGGUUCUCUCUCUCUCCACGAUUAGGGGAUCUGAGCAAGCUAAACAUCCUU